rnacentral:rRNA from 1 species
AUUGAACGCUGGCGGCAGGCCUAACACAUGCAAGUCGGACGGUAGCACAGAGGAGCUUGCUCCUUGGGUGACGAGUGGCGGACGGGUGAGUAAUGUCUGGGGAUCUGCCCGAUAGAGGGGGAUAACCACUGGAAACGGUGGCUAAUACCGCAUAACGUCGCAAGACCAAAGAGGGGGACCUUCGGGCCUCUCACUAUCGGAUGAACCCAGAUGGGAUUAGCUAGUAGGCGGGGUAAUGGCCCACCUAGGCGACGAUCCCUAGCUGGUCUGAGAGGAUGACCAGCCACACUGGAACUGAGACACGGUCCAGACUCCUACGGGAGGCAGCAGUGGGGAAUAUUGCACAAUGGGCGCAAGCCUGAUGCAGCCAUGCCGCGUGUAUGAAGAAGGCCUUCGGGUUGUAAAGUACUUUCAGCGGGGAGGAAGGCGACGGGGUUAAUAACCGCGUCGAUUGACGUUACCCGCAGAAGAAGCACCGGCUAACUCCGUGCCAGCAGCCGCGGUAAUACGGAGGGUGCAAGCGUUAAUCGGAAUUACUGGGCGUAAAGCGCACGCAGGCAGUCUGUUAAGUCAGAUGUGAAAUCCCCGGGGCUUAACCUGGGAACUGCAUUUGAAACUGGCAGGCUUGAG